GUUUUUUCGGUGCAAGAUGAGCUCGCGGCCUAUCAGCUUGUUGGUGGGGUAAUGGCCUACCAAGGCGUCGACGGGUAGCCGGCCUGAGAGGGUGUACGGCCACAUUGGGACUGAGAUACGGCCCAGACUCCUACGGGAGGCAGCAGUGGGGAAUAUUGCACAAUGGGCGGAAGCCUGAUGCAGCGACGCCGCGUGGGGGAUGAAGGCCUUCGGGUUGUAAACUCCUUUCGACAGGGACGAAGCGUAAGUGACGGUACCUGUAUAAGAAGCACCGGCUAACUACGUGCCAGCAGCCGCGGUAAUACGUAGGGUGCGAGCGUUGUCCGGAAUUACCUGGGCGUAAAGAGCUCGUAGGUGGUUUGUCCGCGUCGUCUGUGAAAUUCCGGGGCUUAACUCCGGGCGUGCAGGCGAUACNGGGCUGACUUGAGUGCUGUAGGGGACACUGGAAUUCCUGGUGUACGGUGAAUUGCGCAAUCUCCGGAGGAACACCGAUGGCGAAGGCAGGUCUCUGGGCAGUAACUGACCGCUGAAGGAGCGAAAAGCCCUGGGUUAGCCCGAACAGGAUUACGAUACCCUGUAGUCCAUGCCGUAAACGGUUGGCCUAGUUAAGGGGGCUUCCACGUCUUCUGUGCCGUAGUACGCAUAAGCGCCCCGCCAUGGGGAUC
rnacentral:rRNA from 1 species